GGAUAACCUACCUAUAAGACUGGGAUAACUUCGGGAAACCGGAGCUAAUACCGGAUAACAUAUUGAACCGCAUGGUUCAAUAGUGAAAGGCGGCUUUGCUGUCACUUAUAGAUGGAUCCGCGCCGUAUUAGCUAGUUGGUAAGGUGACGGCUUACCAAGGCAACGAUACCUAGCCGACCUGAGAGGGUGAUCGGCCACACUGGAACUGAGACACGGUCCAGACUCCUACGGGAGGCAGCAGUAGGGAAUCUUCCGCAAUGGGCGAAAGCCUGACGGAGCAACGCCGCGUGAGUGAUGAAGGUCUUCGGAUCGUAAAACUCUGUUAUCAGGGAAGAACAAAUGUGUAAGUAACUGUGCACAUCUUGACGGUACCUGAUCAGAAAGCCACGGCUAACUACGUGCCAGCAGCCGCGGUAAUACGUAGGUGGCAAGCGUUAUCCGGAAUUAUUGGGCGUAAAGCGCGCGUAGGCGGUUUUUUAAGUCUGAUGUGAAAGCCCACGGCUCAACCGUGGAGGGUCAUUGGAAACUGGAAAACUUGAGUGCAGAAGAGGAAAG
rnacentral:rRNA from 1 species